rnacentral:tRNA from 1 species
GGGGUUGUGGCUCAGUGGCAGAGCUCUUGCCUAGCAUGCAUGAGGCACUGGGUUUGAUCCUCAACACCA